UGGCAGUGCUACCGGGGAGCUCUGUCGGUUCGAGACAAGCUCUGCAGACAUGGAAGUGCUGUCAGACUGACCUGUCCGAGGUGUGCGCAGGGCGAUGAAACCGUCCUGCAUGCACUCGUCCAGUGUCCACGCAUUACUGACCUGUGGAGCUUCAUCGAACAGCUGUUGUCACGCGUGGGACAGAUCCGGUUAUCAGCAAAUUUCAUCUUGAAGAU